rnacentral:rRNA from 1 species
UACGUAGGGGGCAAGCGUUGUCCGGAUUUAUUGGGCGUAAAGAGCUCGUAGGCGGUUUGUCGCGUCUGCUGUGAAAACUGGAGGCUCAACCUCCAGCCUGCAGUGGGUACGGGCAGACUAGAGUGCGGUAGGGGAGAUUGGAAUUCCUGGUGUAGCGGUGGAAUGCGCAGAUAUCAGGAGGAACGCCGAUGGCGAAGGCAGAUCUCUGGGCCGUAACUGACGCUGAGGAGCGAAAGCAUGGGGAGCGAACAGG